rnacentral:rRNA from 1 species
CCUACGGGCGGCAGCAGUGGGGAAUAUUGCACAAUGGGGGAAACCCUGAUGCAGCGACGCCGCGUGAGUGAAGAAGUAAUUCGUUACGUAAAGCUCUAUCAGCAGGGAAGAAAAUGACGGUACCUGAGUAAGAAGCCCCGGCUAACUACGUGCCAGCAGCCGCGGUAAUACGUAGGGGGCCAGCGUUAUCCGGAUGUACUGGGUGUAAAGGGAGCGUAGGCGGUUGGACAAGUCAGGAGUGAAAUGGCGCGGCUUAACUGAGGAACUGCAUUUGAAACUGGCCAACUAGAGUGCGGUAGAGGUAAGCGGAAUUCCUGGUGUAGCGGUGAAAUGCGUAGAUAUUAGGAGGAACACCGGUGGCGAAGGCGGCUUACUGGACCGUAACUGACGUUGAGGCUCGAAAGCGUGGGGAGCAAACAGGAUUAGAUACCCCAGUAGUC